rnacentral:lncRNA from 1 species
GUUUUCCUCACCAUCCCAUUUUUCUCUCCUCUGGAUUUGCUCCGAUUUGCUUAUACAAUCUAAAGUGGGAGGCUGAGAACUGAACAUAACUGGCAGAGUGACAGUUGAGUGAUAUUUUAAAGAAGAGAAUUUUAAUGCUCAAAUCCUAACGUGCCAAGCCCCCCCAAUUCUAAUCCGUAGCAGAUGAACAGAUCCUAGCAUAGAGAACUUCAUCUUCUCUCUCUUAAGAAACAUGCACUGCGUGCCUUACCUGUAUUAGUCUGGGACUUGGAUAGCCUGGCAGAUAAACAGGGAACAGAAUACUCUCUAAGGAUGGUGGCUCGUGUUUGUGUCCUAAAGAGAAGGUCCUGCGGUACAUGUAGGAAUUGCAGCACUUUACCUAUAAAGAAUGAACAAGGCCAAACGGAUGAGUUAUCAUUCAGGGUCCACGCUUGGGAGGAACAGCACACUUCAAUCCAGCAGGAAAUUAUGAUGUCAGAUUUUCCCACAAAGUUCAGCACUGGUAUAUUGUAAUCUUUUCCAGCUGCUUUAUACUAUGAAAACUCAACACAUAAGUAGAAGAAACACCGACUAAUAAACUCACAGCACCACAGGUAGAAAUCUUCA